UACGUGACCAUGGGCGCAGCCUGCUCCGCCCUGCCGCUGUUGGAUGAUGAAGGCCUUAGGGUCGUAAAAUCCUCUCGUGGGGGACGAUAAUGACGGUACCCCAAGAAGAAGCUCCGGCUAACUUCGUGCCAGCAGCCGCGGUAAUACGAAGGGGGCUAGCGUUGUUCGGAUUUACUGGGCGUAAAGCGCGUGUAGGCGGGUCGUUAAGUUGGGGGUGAAAUCCCGAGGCUCAACCUCGGAACUGCCUUCAAAACUGGCGACCUGGACUCAAGUAGAGGCAAGUGGAAUUGCGAGUGUAGAGGUGAAAUUCGUAGAUAUUCGCAGGAACACCAGUGGCGAAGGCGACUUGCUGGACUUGUAGUGACGCUGAGACGCGAAA
rnacentral:rRNA from 1 species